UUAAAACACUGGUUCUUGUAUGAUCGCGAGAGUUAAGCAACUUUAUGCCUGGUCAGUACUUAGCUGGGUGACCAUUUGGAAAUACCAGAUGCUGUAAG